rnacentral:rRNA from 1 species
AACGAACGCUGGCGGCAUGCCUAACACAUGCAAGUCGAACGAGACCUUCGGGUCUAGUGGCGCACGGGUGCGUAACGCGUGGGAACCUGCCCUUAGGUUCGGAAUAACUCCCCGAAAGGGGUGCUAAUACCGGAUAAUGUCUUCGGACCAAAGAUUUAUCGCCCUUGGAUGGGCCCGCGUUGGAUUAGCUAGUUGGUAGGGUAAAAGCCUACCAAGGCGACGAUCCAUAGCUGGGCUGAGAGGAUGAUCAGCCACACUGGGACUGAGACACGGCCCAGACUCCUACGGGAGGCAGCAGUGGGGAAUAUUGGACAAUGGGCGAAAGCCUGAUCCAGCAAUGCCGCGUGAGUGAUGAAGGCCUUAGGGUUGUAAAGCUCUUUUACCCGGGAUGAUAAUGACAGUACCGGGAGAAUAAGCUCCGGCUAACUCCGUG